AGAGUUUGAUCAUGGCUCAGGAUAAACGCUGGCGGCGUGCAUGAGACAUGCAAGUCGAACGGACGAUCAGGGCUUGCUCUGAUCAUUAGUGGCGGACGGCUGAGUAACGCGUAGGUGACCUGCCCCGAAGUGGGGGAUAACUGCCCGAAAGGGUGGCUAAUACCGCAUGUGGUGGUUCGUUCAUUCGAACCAUCAAAGCAGCAAUGCGCUUCGGGAGGGGCCUGCGUCCGAUUAGCUCGUUGGUGGGGUAACGGCUCACCAAGGCGACGAUCGGUAGGUGGUCUGAGAGGACGAUCACCCAGACUGGGACUGAGACACGGCCCAGACUCCUACGGGAGGCAGCAGUCGGGAAUUUUGCGCAAUGGGCGAAAGCCUGACGCAGCAACGCCGCGUGAGGGAUGAAGGCCUUCGGGUUGUAAACCUCUUUUUUCAGGGACGAUAAUGACGGUACCUGACGAAUAAGUCACGGCUAACUACGUGCCAGCAGCCGCGGUAAUACGUAGGUGACAAGCGUUGUCCGGAUUUACUGGGCGUAAAGAGCGCGCAGGCGGUCGUUCAAGUCGAGUGUGAAAGCCCCCGGCUCAACUGGGGAGGGUCACUCGAUACUGAUCGACUCGAAGGCAGGAGAGGGUAGUGGAAUUCCCGGUGUAGUGGUGAAAUGCGUAGAUAUCGGGAGGAACACCAGUGGCGAAGGCGACUACCUGGCCUGUUCUUGACGCUGAGGCGCGAAAGCUAGGGGAGCAAACGGGAUUAGAUACCCCGGUAGUCCUAGCCGUAAACGAUGGACACUAGGUGUUGGUGGUAUCAACCCCGCCAGUGCCGAAGCUAACGCAUUAAGUGUCCCGCCUGGGGAGUACGGCCGCAAGGCUAAAACUCAAAGGAAUUGACGG
rnacentral:rRNA from 1 species